ACAAGCUAUGACCUCUGGUCCCUGGGUUCUUCGUUGAGACCGCUCUUCGUUUCUCUUUGCAACUACCUUCAAAUCUGGAAGAAUCAUUUCCAAAGCUUGAGUGAAGUUUGUUAUUCCAAGUUACAAUAUCAUUUUUGAAAUCUGGAAAUAUUUGUGGGGAAAAAUGAACUGGAUUGGGCAAGAGACUAAUCUUAGGAAUGAUGCAGUCUCAGUGAAGAACAGAGCUAAGAAGGACCAAGUCCUCACCCUCAGGGGCUCACAUGUCAGCAGCUUCUAGAACUUUCGAUUUACUACUGGAAAUUUUUCUCACCCAGAUCAGCAGGCACUCUUGCCAAGGUAUGCAGUCAUCUUUAUACAGUCCAGGAUGUCAGUCACCAUUCACGAUUUAAACACUCAUUAACCCUACGGUCCACUCGAAGCUGCAGACUCACAUAUCUUGUGCCUG